CCUACGGGUGGCAGCAGUGAGGAAUAUUGGUCAAUGGACGAGAGUCUGAACCAGCCAAGUAGCGUGAAGGAUGACUGCCCUAUGGGUUGUAAACUUCUUUUAUAUGGGAAUAAAAUGUUCCACGUGUGGGAUUUUGUAUGUACCAUAUGAAUAAGGAUCGGCUAACUCCGUGCCAGCAGCCGCGGUAAUACGGAGGAUCCGAGCGUUAUCCGGAUUUAUUGGGUUUAAAGGGAGCGUAGGUGGAUUGUUAAGUCAGUUGUGAAAGUUUGCGGCUCAACCGUAAAAUUGCAGUUGAGACUGGCAGUCUUGAGUACAGUAGAGGUAGGCGGAAUUCGUGGUGUAGCGGUGAAAUGCUUAGAUAUCACGAAGAACUCCGAUUGCGAAGGCAGUUCACUGAACUGCAACUGACACUGAGGCUCGAAAGUGUGGGUAUCAAACAGGAUUAGAUACCCUUGUAGUC
rnacentral:rRNA from 1 species